rnacentral:rRNA from 1 species
UUGUGCCAGCAGCCGCGGUAAUACGUAGGUGGCAAGCGUUGUCCGGAAUUAUUGGGCGUAAAGCGCGCGCAGGCGGUUCCUUAAGUCUGAUGUGAAAGCCCACGGCUCAACCGUGGAGGGUCAUUGGAAACUGGGGGACUUGAGUACAGAAGAGGAGAGCGGAAUUCCACGUGUAGCGGUGAAAUGCGUAGAUAUGUGGAGGAACACAAGUGGCGAAGGCGGCUCUCUGGUCUGUAACUGACGCUGAGGCGCGAAAGCGUGGGGAGCGAACAGGAUUAGAUACCCUGGUAGUCCACGCCGUAAACGAUGAGUGCUAGGUGUUAGGGGGUCCAACCCUUAGUGCUGCAGUUAACGCAAUAAGCACUCCGCCUGGGGAGUACGGCCGCAAGGCUGAAACUCAAAGGAAUUGACGGGGGCCCGCACAAGCGGUGGAGCAUGUGGUUUAAUUCGAAGCAACGCGAAGAACCUUACCAGGUCUUGACAUCUUUGGACCACCCUAGAGAUAGGGUCUUCCCUUCGGGGACCAAAUGACAGGUGGUGCAUGGUUGUCGUCAGCUCGUGUCGUGAGAUGUUGGGUUAAGUCCCGCAACGAGCGCAACCCUUAAUCUUAGUUGCCAGCAUUUAGUUGGGCACUCUAAGGUGACUGCCGGUGAUAAACCGGAGGAAGGUUGGGGAUGACGUCAAAUCAUCAUGCCCCUUAUGACCUGGGCUACACACGUGCUACAAUGGAUGGUACAAAGGGAAGCAAGCCCGCGAGGUGGAGCGAAUCCCAGAAAGCCAUUCUCAGUUCGGAUUGUAGGCUGCAACUCGCCUACAUGAAGCCGGAAUCGCUAGUAAUCGCGAAUCA